rnacentral:rRNA from 1 species
GAUGAACGCUGGCGGCGUGCCUAAUACAUGCAAGUCGAGCGAACAGACGAGGAGCUUGCUCCUCUGACGUUAGCGGCGGACGGGUGAGUAACACGUGGAUAACCUACCUAUAAGACUGGGAUAACUUCGGGAAACCGGAGCUAAUAACGGAUAAUAUAUUGAACCGCAUGGUUCAAUAGUGAAAGACGGUUUUGCUGUCACUUAUAGAUGGAUCCGCGCCGCAUUAGCUAGUUGGUAAGGUAACGGCUUACCAAGGCAACGAUGCGUAGCCGACCUGAGAGGGUGAUCGGCCACACUGGAACUGAGACGCGGUCCAGACUCCUACGGGAGGCAGCAGUAGGGAAUCUUCCGCAAUGGGCGAAAGCUUGACGGAGCAACGCCGCGUGAGUGAUGAAGGUCUUCGGAUCGUAAAACUCUGUUAUUAGGGAAGAACAAAUGUGUAAGUAACUAUGCACGUCUUGACGGUACCUAAUCAGAAAGCCACGGCUAACUACGUG